AGAGUUUGAUCCUGGCUCAGGAUGAACGCUGGCGGCGUGCUUAACACAUGCAAGUCGAACGAUGAUCCUCAGCUUGCUGGGGGGAUUAGUGGCGAACGGGUGAGUAACACGUGAGUAACCUGCCCUUGACUCUGGGAUAAGCCUGGGAAACUGGGUCUAAUACUGGAUACGACCUUCCCACGCAUGUGGUGUUGGUGGAAAGCUUUUGUGGUUUUGGAUGGACUCGCGGCCUAUCAGCUUGUUGGUGGGGUAAUGGCCUACCAAGGCGACGACGGGUAGCCGGCCUGAGAGGGUGGACGGCCACACUGGGACUGAGACACGGCCCAGACUCCUACGGGAGGCAGCAGUGGGGAAUAUUGCACAAUGGGCGCAAGCCUGAUGCAGCGACGCCGCGUGAGGGAUGAAGGCCUUCGGGUUGUAAACCUCUUUCAGUAGGGAAGAAGCGAAAGUGACGGUACCUGCAGAAGAAGCGCCGGCUAACUACGUGCCAGCAGCCGCGGUAAUACGUAGGGCGCAAGCGUUAUCCGGAAUUAUUGGGCGUAAAGAGCUCGUAGGCGGUUUGUCGCGUCUGCCGUGAAAGUCCGGGGCUUAACUCCGGAUCUGCGGUGGGUACGGGCAGACUUGAGUGAUGUAGGGGAGACUGGAAUUCCUGGUGUAGCGGUGAAAUGCGCAGAUAUCAGGAGGAACACCGAUGGCGAAAGGCAGGUCUCUGGGCAUUAACUGACGCUGAGGAGCGAAAGCAUGGGGAGCGAACAAGGAUUAGAUACCCGCGUAGUCCA
rnacentral:rRNA from 1 species